AGUGAAUAGAUACCCAGGUAGUCCAUGCCGUAAACGAUGAGUACUAGGCGUGUGAGGUUUUGACCCCUUACGUGCCGACGCUAAACGCAUUAAGUACUCCGCCUGGGAAGUACGGUCGCAAGAUUAAAACUCAAAGAAAUUGACGGGGGCCCGGCACAAGCGGUGGAGCAUGUGGUUUAAAUUCGAAGCAACGCGAAGAACCUUACCUGGGUUUGACAUCCUCUGAUAGGUAUAGAGAUAUACCCUCGUAGCAAUACGCAGAGAGACAGGUGCUGCAUGGCUGUCGUCAGCUCGUGUCGUGAGAUGUUGGGUUAAGUCCCGCAACGAGCGCAACCCUUGUCCUUAGUUGCCAGCAUUAAGUUGGGCACUCUAAGGAGACUGCCGACGUUAAGUCGGAGGAAGGUGGGGAUGACGUCAAGUCCUCAUGGCCCUUAUGUCCAGGGCUACACACGUGCUACAAUGGCCGGUACAAAACGGUUGCAAAGUCGUAAGACCAAGCCAACCCUAAAAAACCGGGUCUCAGUUCGGAUUGAGGUCUGCAACUCG
rnacentral:rRNA from 1 species